rnacentral:rRNA from 1 species
UACGUAGGGGGCGAGCGUUGUCCGGAUUUAUUGGGCGUAAAGAGCGUGUAGGCGGCCAGGUAGGUCUGCUGUGAAAACUCGAGGCUCAACCUCGAGACGUCGGCGGAAACCAUCUGGCUAGAGUCCGGAAGAGGAGAGUGGAAUUCCUGGUGUAGCGGUGAAAUGCGCAGAUAUCAGGAGGAACACCGGUGGCGAAGGCGGGUCUCUGGGCAGUAACUGACGCUGAGGAACGAAAGCGUGGGUAGCAAACAGG